AUGGCUCUGGUUGGGAGAAAGGCAGCGCUGACGUCACUUCCCCACCGCGCUGAAGGAGAGGGUGCUUUGCGCAUGCGUAAGGAGAGGCGACAGGAGGUUGAGUGGGAAGAAAGAGAGUUGGCAGAAACUGGAGCUAACAGCAAGAGCUCACCCUGCUCCCCGGGUUCAAACCGUCGACCUUUUGGUCAGCAAGUUCAGCAGCUCAGCAGGUUAAUCCACUGCACCACCGGGGGGGACUCCUGCCUGUAUAUAUAAUGUAUCAUACAAAUGUAGCAAGAAAUCUGUGAAAUAAAUCCAAAGCACAAUUAUUACUUUCAUGGUGCAUCAGUAUUUUUGCAUGGGAAAAAAAUAAUCAGACGUAACAGGUGGCAGGAUAUUUUUGUAUCUUCUCACCAAAUACAUGCCAUGAAGUUGGACACUUAAGUUACUCUGAAUUUGAUGCAGAUUCCUUUGGUGCUCCUUUGGGAGAGAUAAAGCAUGGGAUAAAUAAAUAUAAUAAUAAUAAUAUCAAUUUGUUCUUUUAUUUUCCUCCUUCGUGGAUGCCAUGUUCCUUGGAAGCUUGUUCAGACCAACUACUUCCAUCACACUAGAGCAUCUGUCCACUUUAAAUCCAAAUGCUGCCUCCUGCAGAUUUCUGGAGCUUGUAGUUUAGGGAGGGGUCUUUAAAUUGCUCAGCCAGAGAAGUCCUAGGCCUCACUAAACUACAAACCCCAGGAAUCUGCAGGAGGCAGCAACUAGACUUAAAGGGAUAGAUACUCUGGUGUGAUGAAGUCCCAAGUUAGUGGCCUUUUAGGCUUCUUCCAUAUGAAGAGGAAGGAGCUCACUUUUUGAAUCAUAAGAAUAAUAUGUCAUGGGGGUAUCAUGAUUUUGGUGAUGCUUGAGGAGGGGCAGGGCCAAAAAAAAAGAUUGGGAACCACUGCUCUAGAUAUUAAGGGAUGACAACUCUCAGCAUCCCAUCCCAACAUAGGCUAUGGUGACAGAUGAUGGAAUUCAAUGUCUAACUAUAUCUGGACAGCCACAGAUUCCUAGUAUUUAUAUAAUAGCCAGAAGUCAUUUUAAAAUGGUCACAAGCUUCGAGGGAUUAAUAGUGUGAGCACUGGACUACGACUCUAAACCAGGUCUUAAAUCCUUGCUCAGCCAUGGAAACUUUGGGCAAGUCACAGACCUAACCUCAGAUAAAGUUAAUAGCAAAUCUCUUCUGAAUAUAUCUUGCCAAGAAAACCCAAACCAUUGGUCAGAAUUGGCUGCUUUCAAUUGUCUCCUUUUUGUCCAAAAUGCUUGAAGGGAAUGAUGCCUUGAUACUAAACAGGAUGAACCAGAGAAACUGUGAUGUCCUCAAUAGAAAUACCUGGCCACUAGUCUCUCGGUCAUUUAAAUAUAAAUAUGCUACUUCUCAUGUAACUUUUUCAUGUGCCAAAUGCACCAGAUUCAGUAAAACAGAAUCAGGCUGUAUUAGUACUUGGAUGGGGGACAGCUAUAGAAUACAAGGUGCUAUAAGAUGAACUUUAAAGAAGGAAGAUGUCAGACCACAUCCGAAGAUUUCUUGCCUCUGAACACUCUAUGAAAUCAGUAGGAUUGUCUAAAGUUGAUACUCUACUUGAAAACACAUACAAUUUUUUCAGCCUUCACAGACAACAGGUCCUGAAAGAAUGACAAAACCCCACUGCCAUCUGCUGGACUCUUUGCAUUAUUACUUUUUACAUACAUUUUACUGUAUUUUUAACAGAAAGAUGCAGUCAGUUUUUUAAAGCCCAUCCUCUAGCCAGACAACCAAAGACAUAAGGAGUUGAAGGAAUGAAUACCCAGCCACACAGGUUCCAAAGAAUUAUAACACCACUUUACAAUGAAAUAGUAUCCCAGCAUCUAUAGCAAUAUGAAAAUCAUGAAAUAAAAAACUAGUCCUCCUCUGUUAGAUUAACUCAAUUCAUCUUUAGCCCUUCUUAGCUUUCCUCUGGAGUAUUUCAUACUCCAGUUUGUCCAGGUGAAGUUUUAUUCUGUUUUUUAAAAUCUCUGUAGCCUCCAGUUGAUUUUCACUGCAGAAGAACAAGUGGCAAAUAUGGCACCUAUUCUGUCCAACUGCAGGGCAGAGGAAGGCAAUAAAAGCUAAACAAUCCAUUUCAUCUACUCUGUCCAGAUGUCAGUGCAUCUGGCUCUGUCCAAAUGACACCUAGCCAGCAGCCUUUUCAUCGGGCUAUCAAUACUAUGUCCAUCCUACAACAUCAGUGUAACUACCCAAACUCCCUCCUAUUGAUCCAGCCUCUUUUCCUUUUAUGUCAUAUAUCUUUACUGCCUACUCUUCCAUUUUCCUCUCUCUUUGGCUGAGUUAUCUGAAUGCAAUUGAAUGCCUUUCAGUUUGUUGCAACUGAAGCAACCUGAGAACAAAGGAGGGAAGUGGAAGGAAGAGAAAGCAACUAGGACAUUUAAAAAGCAGCUGGAAAAUGCUAGACAUGAUGAGUCAGGACUGUCUGCCAAUCUAGGACAGUUAGGAGGGAUAUGAUUGCAAUCCCAAAGAUAAUGGAGGCUGUCUUACCACAAAUUUUUGGAACUCACAGUGGAUGGUUAAAUACUUUAAAAUUGGAUUUGGUGCAGAAAUAUGUUACUGCAAUAAGAAAAUCUUUACUGGUAGUAAAUGAUGUGACAGAUGGCCUACAGCAAUAAAGCAUUGCAGCUCUUUAACAAAUAGAUGUAUCUAUAUAAACAAAAAAGUAUUGCUUACUGACAGAGAGCAGAGGGGCAACUGAGCUUCCCAAGAGAGGGAAUCCUAUAGUCUCAGAGCAGCUGCCAAGAAGGCUGACUUCCAAAUGCAAGAGUGACAGUGAUGGAAUCAAGAAAAUGCCCUCCCCAAAGAUCUUAAAACUCAGACAUACUCAUUUAGGGAAAUGCAGUCUUUCAGGCAAUCUGAAUCCAAGCUAUGUAGGUCUUUAGAGAUCAUAACCAGGCUAUAGAAAGCUCCUUGCUAGUCUGGAUGGUUGUGGUGAUUUCGGUUAUGUGUAUUCACAUUGUUUCUGACUUAUGGCAGUGGUUUCUGAAGCUGAGAGUGUGUAACUUGCCUAAGCUGGACAGGGGGAGUGUGACCCUGCUGGUUCUCUUGGACAUCUCAGCGGCUUUCGAUACCAUCGACCAUGGUAUCCUUCUGGGGCGGCUCUCUGGGAUGGGCCUUGGGGGUACUGCACUGCAGUGGCUCCAGUCCUUUCUGGAGGGUCGUUCCCAGUUGGUGAAGCUAGGGGACACCUGCUCGGACCCCUGGCCAUUGACCUGUGUGGUCCCGCAAGGUUCUAUUUUGUCCCCCAUGCUUUUUAACAUCUACAUGAAACCGCUGGGAGAGGUCAUCCGGAGUUUUGGAGUGCGGUGCCAUCUCUACGCGGAUGACACCCAACUCUACUACUCUUUUCCACCUAAAUCCAAGGAAGCCCCUCGGAUUCUGGACCAAUGUCUGGCCGCUGUGUUGGCCUAGAUGAGGGUGAACAAACUGAGACUUUAUCCCGACAAGACAGAGGUCCUCCAGGUCAGUCGUACGUCUGAUCGGGGUAUUGGGUGGCAACCUGUGCUUGACGGGGUCGCACUCCCCCUGAAGGCGCAGGUCCGCAGCUUGGGGGUCCUCCUGGAUUCGGGGCUGACGCUUGAGGCUCAGGUGUCGGCCGUGGCCGGGAGGGCCUUUGCACAAUUAAAACUUGUGCGCCAGCUGCGACCAUACCUUGAGAAGUCUGAUCUGACCAUGGUGGUCCAUGCCUUAGUUACCUCUAGACUGGACUAUUGCAAUGCGCUCUACGUGGGGCUGCCUUUGAAGACGGCCCGGAAAUUACAACUAGUACAGCGUUCGGCAGCCAGGCUUCUAACUGGAGCGAAUUACAGGGCGCGUUCUACGCCUCUGUUUAAGGAGCUCCACUGGCUGCCGUUUAUUUUCCGGACCCAAUUCAAGGUGCAGGUUAUCACCUACAAAGCCCUAAACGGUUUGGGACCUACCUACCUUAGAGACCGCAUCUCCCCCUAUGAACCCGCACGUUCUCUCCGCUCGUCGGGGGAGGCCCUUCUCUCGCUCCCACCACCCUCGCAGUUGCAGUUGGUGGGGACGAGAGAGAGGGCCUUCUCCGUCGUGGCCCCCCGGCUUUGGAACUCGCUCCCUAGAGAGAUCAGGCAGGCCCCUACCCUCCUCUCCUUCCAUAGGAGCUUAAAAACCUGGCUCUUUCAAAAGGCCUUUGGCAAUUAAUUUGUUGUCGGACUGAUCUAUCUGCCCAUUUUAUAAUAGCCCCAUUCUCAAGGUGUUGCCAAUGUUAUAUUGCAUUUUGUCCAUUUCUACUGUGAAAUUACCUUCCCCAUUUCGGCCCAUUCUGCACUUUGCCUGGGUUCAAUGAAUUAGUCUCCUGUAUUAAUAUUGUGUGUUUUAUGUCGAUUUUAACGAUUGUUUUUACUGUAAUUGAUGUUUUUAUUGGAUAAUUGUUUUAUUGCUGUGUUUUAAUAUUUGAUUGUUUUAUCGGGCAAGGCCCCAUGUAAGCCGCCCUGAGUCCCUUCGGGGAGAUGGGGCGGGGUAUAAAAAUAAAGUUAUUAUUAUUAUAUUAUUAUUAAAUUCACCCAGUGGCAAAGCGGA